rnacentral:rRNA from 1 species
GUGUCAGCAGCCGCGGUAAUACGUAGGGCGCAAGCGUUGUCCGGAAUUAUUGGGCGUAAAGAGCUCGUAGGUGGCUUGUCGCGUCGGGUGUGAAAGCUUGGGGCUUAACUCCAGGUCUGCAUUCGAUACGGGCUGGCUAGAGGUAGGUAGGGGAGAACGGAAUUCCUGGUGUAGCGGUGAAAUGCGCAGAUAUCAGGAGGAACACCGGUGGCGAAGGCGGUUCUCUGGGCCUUACCUGACGCUGAGGAGCGAAAGCGUGGGGAGCGAACAGGAUUAGAUACCCCAGUAGUCC